rnacentral:rRNA from 1 species
CACGUAGGGCGCAAGCGUUGUCCGGAAUUAUUGGGCGUAAAGAGCUCGUAGGUGGCUCGUUGCGUCGGGAGUGAAAACCUGCGGCUUAACCGCAGGCCUGCUUCCGAUACGGGCGAGCUAGAGUUCGGCAGGGGAGACUGGAAUUCCUGGUGUAGCGGUGGAAUGCGCAGAUAUCAGGAGGAACACCGGUGGCGAAGGCGGGUCUCUGGGCCGAUACUGACACUGAGAAGCGAAAGCGUGGGGAGCGAACAGG